UCGUCCGCCCUGGGUUAGUCGGGACCUAAGCUGAGGCCGAAAGGCGUAGGUGAUGGACAACAGGUUGAUAUUCCUGUACUACCGAUAACCGUUUGAGAGAAGGGAUGACACAGUAGGAUAAGCUAAGCACACUGUUGGUUAUGUGUGCCCAAGCAUUGAGGCAGUCAAAGUAGGCAAAUCCGCUUUGAUAAUGCUGGGAUGUGAUGGGGAGCGAAAUUUAGUAGCGAAGUAGCUGAUUUCACACUGUCAAGAAAAGUCUCUAUCGAGGUUAAAGGUACCCGUACCGCAAACCGACACAGGUGGGUGAGGAGAGUAUCCUAAGGCCAGCGAGAGAACUGUUGUUAAGGAACUCGGCAAAAUGACCCCGUAACUUAGGGAUAAGGGGUGCCACCAUCAGGUGGCCGCAGAGAAUAGGCCCAAGCGACUGUUUACCAAAAACAUAGGUUUCUGCUAAGUCGCAAGACGAUGUAUAGGAGCUGACGCCUGCCCGGUGCUGGAAGGUUAAGGGGAUCUGUUAGAGCAAUCGAAGCAGUGAACUUAAGCCCCAGUAAACGGCGGCCGUAACUAUAACGGUCCUAAGGUAGCGAAAUUCCUUGUCGGGUAAGUUCCGACCCGCACGAAAGGCGUAACGAUUUGGGCACUGUCUCAACAACAGACUCGGUGAAAUUGUAAUUCCGGUGAAGAUGCCGGAUACCUGCGACAGGACGGAAAGACCCCAUGGAGCUUUACUGUAGCUUGACAUUGGGUCUUGGUACUACAUGUACAGGAUAGGUGGGAGGCUUUGAAACCAGGACGCCAGUUUUGGCGGAGCCAUCCUUGGGAUACCACCCUUGUAGUACUGGGACUCUAACCAUAGGCCAUGAAUCUGGUCUUGGGACACUGUCAGGUGGGCAGUUUGACUGGGGCGGUCGCCUCCCAAAAGG
rnacentral:rRNA from 1 species